rnacentral:rRNA from 1 species
AGAGUUUGAUCCUGGCUCAGAACGAACGCUGGCGGCGUGCCUAACACAUGCAAGUCGAACGGGAUUUGAGAGCUUGCUCUUAAAUUUAGUGGCGCACGGGUGAGUAACGCGUAGAUAAUCUGCCUGAUGAUCUGGGAUAACACUUCGAAAGAGGUGCUAAUACCGGAUAAGCCCACGGAGUCUUUGGAUUCUGCGGGAAAAGGGGGGGACCUUCGGGCCUUCUGUCAUCAGAUGAGUCUGCGUACCAUUAGCUAGUUGGUAGGGUAAUGGCCUACCAAGGCGACGAUGGGUAGCGGGUCUGAGAGGAUGAUCCGCCACACUGGAACUGGAACACGGACCAGACUCCUACGGGAGGCAGCAGUGAGGAAUAUUGCGCAAUGGGGGCAACCCUGACGCAGCGACGCCGCGUGGGUGAUGAAGGCUUUCGGGUCGUAAAGCCCUGUCAAGUGGAAAGAAAGGCUGACGGAAUAAUACGACGCCAGAUUGACGGUACCACUAAAGGAAGCACCGGCUAACUCUGUGCCAGCAGCCGCGGUAAUACAGAGGGUGCGAGCGUUGUUCGGAAUUACUGGGCGUAAAGGGCGCGUAGGCGGCUUUAUAAGUCAGAUGUGAAAGCCCACGGCUUAACCGUGGAAGAGCAUCUGAUACUGUGAGGCUUGAGUAUGGGAGAGGAAAGUGGAAUUCCCGGUGUAGAGGUGAAAUUCGUAGAUAUCGGGAGGAACACCUGUGGCGAAAGCGACUUUCUGGACCAAUACUGACGCUGAGGCGCGAAAGCGUGGGGAGCAAACAGGAUUAGAUACCCUGGUAGUCC